rnacentral:rRNA from 1 species
UACGAAGGGGGCUAGCGUUGCUCGGAAUGACUGGGCGUAAAGGGCGCGUAGGCGGAUGGUACAGUCAGAUGUGAAAUUCCUGGGCUCAACCUGGGGGCUGCAUUUGAUACGUGUUGUCUAGAGUGAGGAAGAGGGUUGUGGAAUUCCCAGUGUAGAGGUGAAAUUCGUAGAUAUUGGGAAGAACACCGGUGGCGAAGGCGGCAACCUGGUCCUUGACUGACGCUGAGGCGCGAAAGCGUGGGGGAGCAAACAGG